UAGAUUACUAUUUCCCUCAAAGAGCUAUAAUUUCCAGAGUACCCUUGGUAGAAGGACCGACCAUUUAACCACUUUGAGAAUUGUAGCUCUGUGAGGGAAAUAGGGGAUCU